GGUGGGUGCGACAGCAGGACCAUGGCUGAAAAAUGAGAAUGUCCGCUGAUUUUGGGACGUUUGGGAGAAUGAAAUUAGCACUACAACUGGCAUAACAGAGAAGCUGCUAUCCAAGAGAGAAGAGGAACAUCAGACAGAAAGAAAGGAAAGGCAUCUUCCGGAUCAUGUGAUCUCCUACAUGAAUAGUGAUUACCGACUGAAGACGCCGUCUGCAGAGGAAGGACAUUUCUUCAGAUGUUCCCCGUUAUGAGAAGCCACCA